GAACAACAUGUUGUCGUCUGUUUUUUGUUGUUGUUGUUUUUUGACUGAUUCACUUUUAAAUCAACUGAAGCUGAUUUAUAUUAAUUUAUUUUAGUGAUCGUCAGCCUGACCUUUGACCUUUGUCUGUGUGUGUGUGUGUGUGUGUGUAGUAAACAGUAAACAGUGCAGGUUGUGUAACAGCUUCAUGGAAACUGUUUCUACAUGUUCACACUGUCGUCAUCUCUGACUUGUUUAUGAUCCUGGUCGUGGUCCUGGUCCCUGUCCUGGUCCUGGUUCUCAGGAGCCUCCGAGGUUUGUCUGUGAUCAGCUGACCCCGCUCUCAGCCAAUCAGACAGCUCAGCCCCUGUUACCAUGGAGACGGAGCAAGGAAUGUGGAGCGGCUCCUGAAAGUAAACAUGAUCUCUGCCAGGGUCAAAGGUCAAAGCUCCGCCCUUCACAGGAAGUCGAGUAAAGGAACAUAUUCCAGGACUGAACAGACCUUCCAGGACCAGGCCCAGCAGAGUUCAAGGGUCCCUGAGGUUCUUCCAGUGGGUCAGAAGGUCCUUGAAAAAGAUCUAGAAGUCUUUGAGGAUGUUCAAGGUGUCAUUCAGAGGGUUCCAGGGGUCCUUGAA